rnacentral:lncRNA from 10 species
AAAAGAAAACUGAGGCAUCAGCAGAAGAGACUCACCUAAGCUUGUCCCUGACCACCCGCGCACCUCAUAGUUUGGGACGGAAUUGAGAUCACAGAACAGGGUUCCUUUGUCUUUUGUUAAAUCUGUAACAUUGGAUUGAUGUGUCUAAGGUUAACUAUUGGAUGUAAUAAUAAUGAUAUUAAAAACUGACCUUAAGGGCACAAUUUAUUAAAGUUUCCAAGUCACUUACUUGGAAGUCAAGUCAAAUAUAGCACUAACUUGUCAGUGUAACAAUAGAAUACCCAAAGUGAUGGCCAACAUUCCCAUUACACGUCUGACAUCUUGGCUAACAGUCAUAGCCCUGGAACUCUUCUCCCUAGGCCAGCCCCAUUUAAAAAAUCCAUUAAUCCCAGUGCUUUGAGAGGCCAAGGCAGGAAUAUUGCUUGAGGCCAGGAGUUUGAGACCUGCUAGGACAACAUAGUGAGACUCCAUCUCUACAAAAAUAAAAUAAAAUAAUUAGCCAGGUAUGGUGGCACACACCUAUAGUCCUAGCUAAUUAGGAGACUGAGGCAGGAAGAUUGCCUGAGCCUGUGAGUUUGAGGCUACAGUGAGCUACGAUCAUGUCAUUGCACUCUACCCUGGGUGACAAAGCAAGACCCUGUCUCUAAAAAAACAAAAAAAAAUUUAUUGAGAGAGAGAGACAGCAAGGCCGGCUGGUCUCGAGGAAGAGAAAUAAACCUCUACAAGAAAACUGCCACACCCUGUUUGAGCCCAACCUGUUCACCCUCAAAGACAGAAUGACGGUCUUCCCCAUCUGUCUGCACUCCUGGCUGUUCACAGGGCACAUCAACAGGGAAAUGCUGUCUGUUCUACUCAUGUCUUACUGGUGACUUCCUGUAGAAAUUCAUGUUAUUGUUUAAAAUAAUUAAUUCUAUAUUUGUUUCUUUGGCAUUUGUGCUUACCAUAUUCUCACAUUUUAUCUGAUCUCCCUGCUUAGAAAAGUGAAAUUGACAUUAUAUUGAGCAUCUCCUCUGCAACAGGCACUGUGAAAUCACAUUAGUCAGAUGUUGUCCAUUAGUUAGACAUUUUUCUAUUAGUUAGAUGUUUUGUCUAUGUUUUAAUGAGAACUUGCUAUCAAAGAACUAACUUCUGUUUUCUUUCCCAGCUUGGCUUGAAGGAGUACUUUAGGACUCAGAACAACAGGAUGAAGACAGCAGCUAAAAUAGAACACACCAGCAGAGACGUUCAGCUCCUUGAGCUGUGCUUCCGAAGCUCAAGCAUGGCAGAGUGGCCUUGUUAAAUCAGAGUUCAGGGUGCCACCCUGACAGUUUCUGAUUCCGUAGGUGCCCAGUAGGGACCAAGAAUCCUUUUUUUUUUUCCUUUUUCUUUUUAAUAGAGUCAGGGUCUUGCUAUGUUGCCCACAUGGGUCUCAAAUUCAAGCGAUCCUCCCACCUCGACCUCCCAAAGCACUGGAAUUCCAGGCAUAAGCCACCGUGCCUGGCCAAGAACGUUUUUUUUUUUAACAAGUUUCUAAAUGAUGCUGGUCUAUUGGUCCUGGGACCACACUUUGAAAUUGGUGGGAUAGGAGGCUGGGAUCUUUAUCCAUUCACUCAACUCCCAUUCCCCAUGGUUGAAAGUUUCCCUGGGGCAUCCCUGGGAGGCCUGGGGGCUGACAAGAUUCAAACGUUUUGGUGAAAAGCCCCAAGACAGUGAAGUGGGGUGUGCUUGAAGUGGGGCACCGUCAUCACCCACCUACCCACCACAGAGGUGAGCUAAAAGGUUACCAGACCGGAGCCUCCAGCAAUCCAGGAGCACAAACAAGGAUGCCUUAAAACAAAACUUGUGUCAGGGUACCCUUCGCUGCCUCAGAGGAAAUCAGAAUGACCUGGUGGACAACUGUUCAUAAGGACAAGAGCCAGUAUCACUGCCUUUGAGUCCCAGCCUCCUCAAAUCCAUUUUCUGCCCUGCACCACCUCAUCAUAUCCCGGAUAUUGUUAGUGUCGUGUCAUUUCAUGACUCAGGAGCUGCGGGUGACUUUGGCUGCCCUGACAUUUGUUAAAUUGGCUCCUGGGUCCUGGUUUGCAAAUGUUGCCACUUUGAGAUCCGUAGAUGGUCAUCCCUGGCUCCCUUGGGGAGUGUCCUGGAAUCCACCAGCUCCAUCUGCUCGACAAGAGACUUGAGUUUGUUCUGUUACCUCUUUCAUCAUUAGCCAAAGCUCCGGGACUUGGUUAAAACUUUAGGCAAUUAAAAAGACUGACUUAUGGAGAUAGUAGUGUUUUCACUAUAUCGUCCCUGCUUGAAUUUAUGUUCUUGAAUUCCAUUAACCUGAAAUAUAUCAAAAUACCAAGAUGUUAUGAAGAAUGGGAACAAAUAUAGAAAAGUGAAAA